rnacentral:rRNA from 1 species
AUACGGAGGGUGCGAGCGUUAAUCGGAAUUACUGGGCGUAGAGCGUACGUAGGCGGUUGGUUAAGUUAGAUGUGAAAGCCCCGGGCUUAACCUGGGAACUGCAUUUAAAACUGGCGAACUAGAGUUGAGUAGAGGGGAGUGGAAUUUCAGGUGUAGCGGUGAAAUGCGUAGAGAUCUGAAGGAACACCAGUGGCGAAGGCGACUCCCUGGACUCGAACUGACGCUGAGGUACGAAAGCGUGGGUAGCAAACGGGAUUAGAAACCCUAGUAGUCC